rnacentral:rRNA from 1 species
UAGGGAAUCUUCCACAAUGGGCGAAAGCCUGAUGGAGCGACGCCGCGUGUGUGAUGAAGGGUUUCGGCUCGUAAAACACUGUUGUAAGAGAAGAAUGGCAUUGAGAGUAACUGUUCAAUGUGUGACGGUAUCUUACCAGAAAGGAACGGCUAAAUACGUGCCAG